rnacentral:rRNA from 1 species
GAUGAACGCUGGCGGCGUGCCUAACACAUGCAAGUCGAGCGAUUCUCUUCGGAGAAGAGCGGCGGACGGGUGAGUAACGCGUGGGUAACCUGCCCUGUACACACGGAUAACAUACCGAAAGGUAUGCUAAUACGAGAUAAUAUACUUUUAUCGCAUGGUAGAAGUAUCAAAGCUCCGGCGGUACAGGAUGGACCCGCGUCUGAUUAGCUAGUUGGUAAGGUAACGGCUUACCAAGGCGACGAUCAGUAGCCGACCUGAGAGGGUGAUCGGCCACAUUGGAACUGAGACACGGUCCAAACUCCUACGGGAGGCAGCAGUGGGGAAUAUUGCACAAUGGGCGAAAGCCUGAUGCAGCAACGCCGCGUGAGCGAUGAAGGCCUUCGGGUCGUAAAGCUCUGUCCUCAAGGAAGAUAAUGACGGUACUUGAGGAGGAAG